UACGGGAGGCAGCAGUGAGGAAUAUUGGUCAAUGGGCGCAAGCCUGAACCAGCCAUGUCGCGUGCAGGAUGACGGCCCUAUGGGUUGUAAACUGCUUUUUUACAGGAAUAAACUUUGCUACGUGUAGUAAACUGAAGGUACUGUAAGAAUAAGGAUCGGCUAACUCCGUGCCAGCAGCCGCGGUAA
rnacentral:rRNA from 1 species